UAUUUUUUAAUUAUUUACCACUCAUGGUACCAUCAUUUUUCUUGUUUUUUCUAACAGAAUCAUCCAUUUAGUUGCUGUUAAAACCAACGGGUUUUUGUGCAUCAGGAUAGGCGAACGGUCUAAUGCGUGAAACGAUAGGAGAAUCCCUGAGCUAUUCUGGUAAAGGCAUUAGAUCGAAUCCAUACACUAAUUUUUUUUUUUUUUUGUAUUUCGUACCUAUUUCUAUUUGUCGAGCAUUAACUAUGACAUUCAUAU